GGACGAACGCUGGCGGCGUGCUUAACACAUGCAAGUCGAACGGGAGUAUUGAAGAAGCUUGCUUUAGAGAUACUUUAGUGGCGGACGGGUGAGUAACGCGUGAGGAGCUGUCCUAUGCAGGGGGACAACAGCUGGAAACGGCUGCUAAUACCCCAUAAGCCGAGAGGUAAAAGGAUCAAUCCGGCAGAGGAGGUACUCGCGUCCUAUCAGCUAGUAGGUGAGGUAACGGCUCACCUAGGCGAAGACGGGUAGCCGGCCUGAGAGGGCGAACGGCCACACUGGAACUGAGAUACGGUCCAGACUCCUACGGGAGGCAGCAGUUGGGAAUCUUAGGCAAUGGACGAAAGUCUGACCUAGCGACGCCGCGUGAGGGAAGAAGGCCUUCGGGUUGUAAACCUCUGUCAUGGGGGAAGAAGGAAGUGACGGUACCCCAAGAGGAAGCCCCUGCUAACUACGUGCCAGCAGCCGCGGUAAUACGUAGGGGGCUAGCGUUAUCCGGAAUUAUUGGGCGUAAAGGGCGAGUAGGCGGUUUGUUAAGUCAGGUGUGAAAUUUCAGGGCUCAACCCUGAAACUGCGCUUGAAACUGGCAGGCUAGAGGANAGGAGAGGGAAGUGGAAUUCCCGGUGUNNCGGUGAAAUGCGUAGAUAUCGGGAGGAACACCAGUGGCGAAGGCGGCUUCCUGGACUGUACCUGACGCUGAUGAGCGAAAGCUGGGGGAGCAAACAGGAUUAGAUACCCUGGUAGUCCCAGCUGUAAACGAUGAGUGCUAGGUGUGGGGGGCGACAAUCCUCCGUGCCGCAGUUAACGCAAUAAGCACUCCGCCUGGGGAGUACGGCCGCAAGGCUAAAACUCAAAGGAAUUGACGGGGGCCCGCACAAGCAGUGGAGCGUGUGGUUUAAUUCGAGGCAACGCGCAGAACCUUACCAGGGUUUGACAUCAUACCGACGUCUGUAGAAACACAGAUUUCCGCUUAGGCGGACGGUAUGACAGGUGUUGCAUGGUUGUCGUCAGCUCGUGUCGUGAGAUGUUGGGUUAAGUCCCGCAACGAGCGCAACCCCUAUCCAAUGUUGCCAACAGGUAAAGCUGGGGACUCAUUGGAGACUGCCGGAGACGAUCUGGAGGAAGGUGGGGAUGAGGUCAAAUCAUCAUGGCCCUUAAGCCCUGGGCUACACACGCGCUACAAUGGCCGGUACAACGGGCAGCGAAGGAGCGAUCCGGAGCGAAUCCCAAAAAGCCGGCCCCAGUUGGAAUCGCAGGCUGCAACUCGCCUGCGUGAACAUGGAAUUGCUAGUAAUCGCGAAUCAGCUACGUCGCGGUGAAUACGUUCCCGGGCCU
rnacentral:rRNA from 1 species